AAAAAAAAGGACAAUAACAUUUUUAUAUAUUUUUUUUUUAUUGAGUACAUUACAUUUUAUAUAAUAAAGUGAACACAUUAUUAUAUCACAAUAUAUUAAGAUAGUAUGUUUUAUUCAAAUAAAAAAUAAAUUUGUUUUAACCGUUGAGUCUUGACUGAACACGAAUAAUGGAGAGUUGAACACUGCAACAGUCGUACUGGGAUAUAUUGUGUAUUAGUAAAUGAUGUAUCGCAUUCGUUCUAAUAGCUUACAAAUAUAUAGCCUUUAGUCAAAACCCGAGUAAAUUUCACAACCCCAGAUUACCUUGCACAAGGUCGUGUAAUCGGCUAUGCUCGUGCCCAAACGAGUAGAUGUGUACAAGGUAACUUGCCAGGGAAAAAGGUUUUAAAUAAAAGAAAACAGAUUGAAGUUAUUGAUCUCUGUCAGAGAAUACAACAAAAGAAGAAAAAAAAGAGAAAAACGCCAAUGAUUUUUUUUUUUUAUCAAGCACUUCCACGUUGGCCAACUUCUUAAGCGUGUACAGGUUGUACAAACGAGUAUUAUACAAAACAUGGUUGGCCACGUCAUUGCUUCAUUCAUUGUUGUUUGGCACAUUUUGCUAGCAGAUGGCGUUCAUAUUUUAUCCAUUAUUAUAACAGGAAGUAUAAUAUCUUAUUACACAUUUUAUUAGAUAAAAAUAAAAAUAUGAAUUAUUAAUAAAAGAUUAUUGUUGCUGGCACCCAGCAUAAUCUAUGAACUUUGGCUGGCGCCUGGCCUGUGUGUAAUGUUAUCAUCUUUCAAGUGUCGAUUACAAUAAUAUUAUACCAUACGGCAUACACAUUGAUCUAUAAAUAAAAAAAGUAUGCCAAUAUAACCAGAAUUGGGUCAAAAAACUAGUUACAGCUGUUCUAUAUUUUACCAAUUACAAAAACUGUAACACACACCGAAAUGGAGGGGAUGCAAAUAAUUUACUUAGUUUUUAUUCGCACAACUUUUACAAGUGACGAGUUGCUACAAAGACAGUUUACAAUUAUACCUUACUGCAUUCAAUGGCUUAAAUAUAACAUACUUAGCCAGUUGUUUUAAUUUGCUGUGGCCGUCGACGCCAACAAAGAAUAAAUUGCUUUGAAUAAUUAAUAAAAUAGUAAUAAUAAUCAAUGUAUAAUUAUAAUUUGAACAAUAAUUGCAAACCGCAAUACUAUAUAUUAUAUAAAAUAAAGAUAACUAGCAUAGUGCAAGAAGAGAGCCUUUAUAUUUCAUAUAGAUACGUUUAUAAUAGCAAAAUUAAACUGAUUUUAAUUUCAACAACAAAAAUUGAUCCUAGUUAUGAAAAAAAGACCAACAAAUUAUGGAAUUUAAGUGUUUUCAGAUAAAAAAACGUCAGUGGCAGGCCAUGUCUUAUCAGUUAUCAUCAAUGAAUUAUUUUGUACAUACUCGCGUAGGCUAUUAUUGCUAGAAAUAAAAAAGGCCACAUAUUGUUCAUGUUAAACUUCUAUGGCGUCAGGUCGAAAAUAGUUCCAAAAUAAUAGGGAAGAUUAAAAUAUUUAUUUAAUUUAUAAUAGUCAAAAACCAAUAAAAACGAAUCAACGGCAAAGAAUUAAAAAAAAAUUGCAGUUAAUUAACCUAAUAGAAAAUUAUUCAAACAGUUUCUCAAUUUUCUUACAAUUCUAAAAAAAUAACUAGACGUGCUAGGUCAAUAUUCUUAGGCUAGAUUUGAAUUCAGCGCAACCCCCUUCCCCCUAAAAAUAAAAAUACAUUUAUUCAAGUUCUUGACUUCUUGUACCAAUAUUUCAUUGUUGUACAAUGUGUUAUCAAUUAUUUCAAAAUCUCUUGAUAAAAUUAGACUAAAAUGAAACAUAUUAUAUUAUAAUUCGAUGUAAAUUUAUUUUUAUUUUAUAAUAUGUAACUUGCAAGUAACUACACAAAAGUCUAAAAAGAGUAAUUGAUAUUUUGUCCAACCCUGUAAACAAUAGGUACAAACUUCUUUCUUAAUUAAAUAGAGCGAGCUACCCGUUCAUAGCAAAAUGCGGUUGCCAGAUGACGACGGCCCACAUAAUAUUAUUCUGUAUACUUAUAAUAUUAUGUAUUUACGGUGUUAAUGAACUAUAAAGAAGAGAAAAAAUUAUACAUAAUAACAAAUUAUGUUGUUAAAUUACAAUUAAUUUUUUUUUUUCAUUUUUUA